UAGCAGUGAGGAAUAUUGGUCAAUAGUCUAACGGCUGAACCAGCAAUUUGGGAGAACGAAUAGCUUCGGCUAAUUAUACUUGGCUGUUUAAUUUAUUAUACAUUAAAUGUAUAAUAAAUUCUUCAUUUAAUCUAUAAUAUUUUAUUUAAGAUUAAUUAAUUUGCCGUUUCUAUGUGAUUAAGGGAAUAUUUUAUUCUCAUGGACAAGUAUAAGAUCGAUUUUAUCGAAUAAAGUUCUAGAUAGAAGACUGAUUAUGACAAUUUUCUAUCUAUAUGUCUUGACCAAAAUACGUGCCAGCAGUCGCGGCAAUACGUAGAAGACUAGUGUUAUUCAUCUUUAAUAGGUUUAAAGGGUACCUAGACGGUAUAAUUAGUCCUAAAUAGGAUACGAUUAUGACUAGAGUUAUAUAUGAGGAGGUGAGUACUUAUGGAGUAGAGUUGAAAUUUUUUAAUACCAUAAAGACUGGUAACGGCGAAAGCAACCUUUUAUCUAAUAACUGACGUUGAGGGACGAAGGCUCGGGUAACAAACAGGAUUAGAUACCCUAGUAGUCCAAGCAGAAAAUUAUGAAUGCCAUAGAUUAGAUACUUUUUCUAAUAAAAGAGAUAUUUUUAGUCUAUAAAUGAAAGUGUAAGCAUUUCACCUCAAGAGUAAUGUGGCAACGCAGGAACUGAAAUCAUUAGACCGUUUCUGAAACCAGUAGUGAAGUAUGUUAUUUAAUUCGUCAGUACGCGAAAAACCUUACCACAAUUUGAAUAUUAUUUAUAUGAAAACAAUAUUAGUGAUAUAAUAAAGUUAGUAGUAAAAUAUUACAAGCGUUGCACGGCUGUCUUCAGUUAAUGUCGUGAGAUAUUGGUUAAUUCCAUUAAAUUAACGGAAACCCUUGCUUUAUUUGUCUUUUUAAGAAUAAAGCAGUACACCCUUAUAUCGGAUAUGUUAAUAGGGACCAAGACAAGUCAUCAUGGCCUAAAUAUUGUGGGCUAUAGACG
rnacentral:rRNA from 1 species